GUUGGGCUGUUCGCCCAUUAAAGAGGCACGUGAGCUGGGUUCAGAACGUCGUGAGACAGUUCGGUCCUUAUCCGCCGCAGGCGUUGGAGAAUUGAUGGAUGCUGCCCUUAGUACGAGAGGACCAGGGCAGAGGAACCUCUGAUGUACCAGUUAUCACACCAGUGGUAGGCGCUGGGUAGUUAUGUUCCGUUGGAUAAACACUGAAGGCAUCUAAGUGUGAAGCCAUUCCAAAGAUGAGUUCUCCCGCCUCUUGAAGGCAUAAGACCUCCGGAAGACUACCGGGUUGAUAGGCACAAGCUGUAAGCGCAGCAAUGCGUUGAGGUGAUGUGUACUAAUAGGUCGAAGGCUUAGCUAU
rnacentral:rRNA from 1 species